AUACGUAGGGGGCAAGCGUUAUCCGGAUUUACUGGGCGUAAAGGGCGUGUAGGCGGUCUUGCAAGUCAGAAGUGAAAUUCCUGAGCUCAACUCGGGCGCUGCUUCUGAAACUGCAGGACUUGAGUGCUGGAGGGGAUAGCGGAAUUCCUAGUGGAGCGGUAAAAUGCGCAGAUAUUAGGAAGAACACCGGUGGCGAAGGCGGCUAUCUGGACAGUAACUGACGCUGAUGCACGAAAGCGUGGGGAUCAAACAGGAUUAGAUACCCUGGUAGUCCACGCUGUAAACUAUGAUAACUAUCUUUUAGCGAUACACAGUUAGAGGGUACGAGAAAUCAUUAAGUUAUCCACCUGGGGAUUACGUUCGCAAGAAUGAAACUCAAAUGAAUCGACGGGG
rnacentral:rRNA from 1 species